CGGCGUGCUUAACACAUGCAAGUCGAACGAGACGAUUUAGAAGCUUGCUUUUAUUGAGUCGAGUGGCAAACGGGUGAGUAACGCGUAGACAACCUGCCGCAAAGAUGGGGACAACAGUCCGAAAGGACUGCUAAUACCGAAUGUUGUAUCUCCUCCGCAUGGAAGAGAUAUUAAAGAUGGCCUCUACUUGUAAGCUAUCGCUUUGCGAUGGGUCUGCGUCUGAUUAGCUAGUUGGUGGGGCAACGGCCUACCAAGGCGACGAUCAGUAGCCGGUCUGAGAGGAUGAACGGCCACAUUGGAACUGAGACACGGUCCAGACUCCUACGGGAGGCAGCAGUGGGGAAUCUUCCGCAAUGGGCGAAAGCCUGACGGAGCAACGCCGCGUGAGUGAAGAAGGUCUUCGGAUCGUAAAGCUCUGUUGUCGGGGACGAAUGUUGAGACCAAGAACAUAGGUUUCAAAUGACGGUACCUGACGAGGAAGCCGCGGCUAACUACGUG
rnacentral:rRNA from 1 species